ACGGCUCAGUAACACGUGGAUAACCUACCCUAAGGUGGGAGAUAACCCCGGGAAACUGGGGAUAAUACCCCAUAGUCUAUGGAAGCUGGAAUGCUCUAUAGUUGAAAGAUUUAUCGCCUUAGGAUGGGUCUGCGGCCGAUUAGGUAGUUGUUGGGGUAACGGCCCAACAAGCCUUUGAUCGGUACGGGUUGUGGGAGCAAGAGCCCGGAGAUGGAUUCUGAGACACGAAUCCAGGCCCUACGGGGCGCAGCAGGCGCGAAAACUUUACAAUGCGGGAAACCGUGAUAAGGGAACUCCGAGUGCCCGUAAACGCGGGCUGUCCAUCUGCUUAAAAAACAGGUGAAGAAAGGGCCGGGCAAGACCGGUGCCAGCCGCCGCGGUAAUACCGGCGGCUCGAGUGGUGGCCACUAUUACUGGGCUUAAAGCGUCCGUAGCUUGGUUGUUAAGUCUCUUGGGAAAUCUGUCGGCUUAACCGACAGGCGUUUAAGGGAUACUGGCAAUCUAGGGACCGGGAGAGGUGAGAGGUACUCCAGGGGUAGGAGUGAAAUCCUGUAAUCCUUGGGGGACCACCUGUGGCGUAGGCGUCUCACCAGAACGGCUCCGACAGUGAGGGACGAAAGCUGGGGGAGCAAACCGGAUUAGAUACCCGGGUAGUCCCAGCCGUAAACGAUGCGCGUUAGGUGUAUCGGUGACCACGAGUCACCGAGGUGCCGAAGGGAAACCGUGAAACGUGCCGCCUGGGAAGUACGGUCGCAAGGCUGAAACUUAAGGAAUUGGCGGGGGAGCAC
rnacentral:rRNA from 1 species